UACGGAGGGGGCUAGCGUUGUUCGGAAUUACUGGGCGUAAAGCGCGCGCAGGCGGUCUUCCAAGUCAGUGGUGAAAGCCCGGAGCUCAACUUCGGAACUGCCAUUGAAACUGUUAGACUUGAGGACGAGAGAGGUGAGUGGAAUUCCCAGUGUAGAGGUGAAAUUCGUAGAUAUUGGGAAGAACACCGGUGGCGAAGGCGGCUCACUGGCUCGUAUCUGACGCUCAGGCGCGACAGCGUGGGGAUCAAACAGG
rnacentral:rRNA from 1 species